UACGUAGGGGGCUAGCGUUGUCCGGAUUUAUUGGGCGUAAAGAGCGUGUAGGCGGCCAGGUAGGUCUGCUGUGAAAACUCGAGGCUCAACCUCGAGAUGUCGGCGGAAACCGUCUGGCUAGAGUCCGGAAGAGGAGAGUGGAAUUCCUGGUGUAGCGGUGAAAUGCGCAGAUAUCAGGAAGAACACCUAUGGCGAAGGCAGCUCUCUGGGACGGUACUGACGCUGAGACGCGAAAAGCGUGGGGAGUGAACAGG
rnacentral:rRNA from 1 species